rnacentral:rRNA from 1 species
CAGUAGCCGCGGUAAUACGUAGGUGGCAAGCGUUGUCCGGAAUUAUUGGGCGUAAAGGGCUCGCAGGCGGUUUCUUAAGACUGAUGUGAAAGCCCCCGGCUCAACCGGGGAGGGUCAUUGGAAACUGGGAAACUUGAGUGCAGAAGAGGAGAGUGGAAUUCCACGUGUAGCGGUGAAAUGCGUAGAGAUGUGGAGGAACACCAGUGGCGAAGGCGACUCUCUGGUCUGUAACUGACGCUGAAGAGCGAAAGCGUGGGGAGCGAACAGGAUUAGAUACCCGCGUAGUCCCUGUCUCUUAUAC